AGUGAACGCUGGCGGUAGGCCUAACACAUGCAAGUCGAACGGCAGCACAGUAAGAGCUUGCUCUUACGGGUGGCGAGUGGCGGACGGGUGAGGAAUACAUCGGAAUCUACUUUUUCGUGGGGGAUAACGUAGGGAAACUUACGCUAAUACCGCAUACGACCUACGGGUGAAAGCAGGGGAUCUUCGGACCUUGCGCGAUUGAAUGAGCCGAUGUCGGAUUAGCUAGUUGGCGGGGUAAAGGCCCACCAAGGCGACGAUCCGUAGCUGGUCUGAGAGGAUGAUCAGCCACACUGGAACUGAGACACGGUCCAGGCUCCUACGGGAGGCAGCAGUGGGGAAUAUUGGACAAUGGGCGCAAGCCUGAUCCAGCAAUACCGCGUGGGUGAAGAAGGCCUUCGGGUUGUAAAGCCCUUUUGUUGGGAAAGAAAAGCAGCAGGUUAAUACCCCGCUGUUCUGACGGUACCCAAAGAAUAAGCACCGGCUAACUUCGUG
rnacentral:rRNA from 1 species